CAAGACUUCAGGAGUUUGUUACGAAUAAAGGAUGUGGAAAUUAUUGUUUGCAUUUGGGUUCAUUUUUGGUACCUUCAGUCAUUUUGGUGUAACUAGGGUGGAUCCUCUGGCUUGACUAUUAGUUACAACGUCCUUACAUCAAGCAUAGCCAAUUUUUGGAAAUUUGGUACAAAUAGUCGGACAAAGAGGGGAAUAAAUUCGCAAUCAAAUGAUCGUCCUUCUUCUUCACUCUCCGCCAUCUGGACUCGAAAUCAUCAAAAUUUCGAAUCGAAUAACGAGCAACGAAUGGCGUCAAGAUCUUACCAGAAGUUUCUCAUCCCUUUAAACAGUUCAUUCCAAGCUCGAGCCGCAAUUUAAAAUCCAUUUGCCGGAUCGUUGUUCACUCACGCACGUAUGUAACCUAACAUCCGUUCCAUGUCCUUUGUAAUUCGAAAAAAAUCGCAUUUCUGCCGGCGUAAUCCUCGUACGAGGUGGCAACGUGGAGCAUAAAUUUCUCGUUAAGAACUAGUCCCAUCAUUCGCUUUUAUCUGCUUCCUAUGGAAAGUCAUUAUACUAUCCGUGUGGGGCCUGCCACCUACGUCUCUCUGUUCGAUGGUAUUCCUCCCCAUUGCCAAUCGUCCUUCCUGUUUACAGUGAAAUUAUUACCAGCGAGUUGGGCCGUUCAAUAAAAUCGUGCAAAUUACAUCGUCGCGUUGAUCAGCCGGCAAUAAAGCUCUCCAACUCGUCGACUCGAUUAAUGGACUGCAGGCAUUAGGUCUUCCGAAGCAAUUGAAACGAUUAAUGAAUUACGAAUUAGCAAAUUCAAUUGUAAAUUGGACGUUAAUAGCUAUGUAUUGUUCCAUUCUCUAUAAUUUUUAGCUGACAUUUUUAUUUAUUUAUUGGCAGGUUGAUAGACACUGAGGAGUUUGAGGAGUUCAAGAUUUUAUGGAGUGAUUUGUAGGAUUUUUAUGAAUUUAAAAACUUUGAAGAUCUUGAAGAAUUUGUAAGGAAAAAUGUAAGUUCCAUUUUUUGGGUCUAAGAGAGUAACUAGAAAAGGAUCUCUUAAUUGAUAUGUACAUUCAAAACUGCAACUACAAUUCAAAGCACAUUCCAAAUCGC